rnacentral:rRNA from 1 species
AGGACGAACGCUGGCGGCGCGCUUAAUACAUGCAAGUCGAGCGAGAACCGGACCUUCGGGUCCGGGGAAAGCGGCGAACGGGUGAGUAACACGUGGGUAAUCUGCCCUCGGUACUGGGAUAGCCCGGGGAAACCCGGAUUAAUACCGGAUAGCCUUUCGAGCUCUCGGGCUCGUUAGAAAAUGGUGGCUUCGGCUUCCGACUGAGGAUGAGCCCGCGGCGGAUUAGCUUGUUGGUGAGGUAAUGGCUCACCAAGGCUCCGAUCCGUAGCUGGUCUGAGAGGACGAUCAGCCACACUGGGACUGAGACACGGCCCAGACUCCGUACGGGAGCAGCAGUAGGGAAUCGUUGCGACAAGU